CUGGGACUCCUGAUGGGAGCCCCAAUCCUUGCUGUGAUGGGGUUCUCUGCACCUUGGAUGCUGUUUGUGUUCCAAUCAUUGCUAAUGUAGUCCACCACCUUCCUUUUUCUUUUCGCUUGGAAUUUUUCUCCACUCUCAGUGAGGCUAUGGGAGUUCGGCUCCCGUAGGCGAAGUCAGGGUGAAGUUCGGCUCCCGUGGGAGUCUGGAUGAAGAUCACCAGCAGUUGAAGUUGGUGACGAAGCCCGACUUCCGUAGGAGUUCAGACGGAAUCCUCCCUGU
rnacentral:lncRNA from 1 species